UAAGAGGGGGGCGAGCGUUGUUCGGAAUUAUUGGGCGUAAAGGGUGCGUAGGCGGCCUGACAAGUCUGAUGUGAAAUCCCUGGGCUCAACCCAGGGCCUGCAUCGGAAACUGUCGGGCUUGAGUAUGGGAGAGGUGAGUGGAAUUUCCGGUGUAGCGGUGAAAUGCGUAGAUAUCGGAAGGAACACCUGUGGCGAAAGCGGCUCACUGGACCAUUACUGACGCUGAGGCACGAAAGCUAGGGGAGCAAACAGG
rnacentral:rRNA from 1 species